rnacentral:rRNA from 1 species
AUUGAACGCUGGCGGCAGGCCUAACACAUGCAAGUCGAACGAGUGGCGGACGGGUGAUUAAUGUCUGGGAAACUGCCUGAUGGAGGGGGAUAACUACUGGAAACGGUAGCUAAUACCGUAUACCAUCGGAUGUGCCCAGAUGGGAUUAGCUAGUAGGUGGGGUAAAGGCUCACCUAGGCGACGAUCCCUCGCUGGUCUGAGAAGAUAACCAGCCACACUGAAUCUGAGACACGGUCCAGACCGCUACGAUGGGCGUCAGUGGGCAAUAUUGGACAAUGGGGGCAAGCCUGAUACAGCCAUGCCGCGGGUAUGGAGAAGGCCUUCGGGUUGUAAAGCACUUUAAGUUGGGAGGCGUUACCAACAGCAUAUGCACCGGCUAACUUCGUGCCAGCAGCCGCGGUAAUUC